UACGUAGGGGGCUAGCGUUAUCCGGAAUUACUGGGCGUAAAGGGUGCGUAGGUGGUUUCUUAAGUCAGAGGUGAAAGGCUACGGCUCAACCGUAGUAAGCCUUUGAAACUGAGAAACUUGAGUGCAGGAGAGGAGAGUAGAAUUCCUAGUGUAGCGGUGAAAUGCGUAGAUAUUAGGAGGAAUACCAGUUGCGAAGGCGGCUCUCUGGACUGUAACUGACACUGAGGCACGAAGGCCAGGGGAGCAAACGGG
rnacentral:rRNA from 1 species